rnacentral:tRNA from 1 species
ACCUGUUUGGCUCAGUCAGUAGAGCAUGGGACUCUUGAUCUCAAGGUUGUGAGUUCAAGUCCCACGCUGGUG